UACGGAAGGCAGCAGUGGGGAAUCUUGCGCAAUGGGCGAAAGCCUGACGCAGCCAUGCCGCGUGAAUGAUGAAGGUCUUAGGAUUGUAAAAUUCUUUCACCGGGGACGAUAAUGACGGUACCCGGAGAAGAAGCCCCGGCUAACUUCGUGCCAGCAGCCGCGGUAAUACGAAGGGGCUAGCGUUGCUCGGAAUUACUGGGCGUAAAGGGCGCGUAGGCGGAUCGUUAAGUCAGAGGUGAAAUCCCAGGGCUCAACCCUGGAACUGCCUUUGAUACUGGCGAUCUUGAGUAUGAGAGAGGUAUGUGGAACUCCGAGUGUAGAGGUGAAAUUCGUAGAUAUUCGGAAGAACACCAGUGGCGAAGGCGACAUACUGGCUCAUUACUGACGCUGAGGGCGCGAAAGCGUGGGGAGCAAACAGGGAUUAGAUACC
rnacentral:rRNA from 1 species